rnacentral:rRNA from 1 species
AGGGUUUGAUCAUGGCUCAGAACGUACGCUGGCGGCACGCCUAACACAUGCAAGUCGAACGAAGUAGCAAUACUUAGUGGCAGACGGGUGAGUAACAUGUAGGUAUCUACCCUAUGGCCUGGAAUAACACGAGGAAACUUGUGCUAAUACCGGAUAAGUCUUUACAGAGAAAGCUUUAUGCACCAUUGGAUGAGCCUGCACUUGAUUAGUUUGUUGGUGGGGUAAUGGCCUACCAAGACUGUGAUCAAUAGCUGAUUUGAGAGGAUGAUCAGCCACAUUGGGACUGAGACACGGCCCAGACUCCUACGGGAGGCAGCAGUGGGGAAUUUUCCGCAAUGGGCGAAAGCCUGACGGAGCAACGCCGCGUGAGGGACGAAGGCCUCUGGGCUGUAAACCUCUUUUCUCAAGGAAGAAGAUAUGACGGUACUUGAGGAAUAAGCCACGGCUAAUUCCGUGCCAGCAGCCGCGGUAAUACGGGAGUGGCAAGCGUUAUCCGGAAUUAUUGGGCGUAAAGCGUCCGCAGGCGGCUUUUCAAGUCUGCUGUUAAAGCGUGGAGCUUAACUCCAUCAUGGCAGUGGAAACUGAAAGGCUUGAGUAUGGUAGGGGCAGAGGGAAUUCCCGGUGUAGCGGUGAAAUGCGUAGAUAUCGGGAAGAACACCAGUGGCGAAGGCGCUCUGCUGGGCCAUUACUGACGCUCAUGGACGAAAGCCAGGGGAGCGAAAGGGAUUAGAUACCCCUGUAGUCCUGGCCGUAAACGAUGAACACUAGGUGUCGGGGGAAUCGACCCCUUCGGUGUCGUAGCUAACGCGUUAAGUGUUCCGCCUGGGGAGUACGCACGCAAGUGUGAAACUCAAAGGAAUUGACGGGGGCCCGCACAAGCGGUGGAGUAUGUGGUUUAAUUCGAUGCAACGCGAAGAACCUUACCAGGGUUUGACAUCCUGCGAACCUCUUAGAAAUUUGAGGGUGCCUUCGGGAAUGCAGUGACAGGUGGUGCAUGGCUGUCGUCAGCUCGUGUCGUGAGAUGUUGGGUUAAGUCCCGCAACGAGCGCAACCCUCACUUUUAGUUGCCAUCAUUAAGUUGGGCACUCUGAAAGAACUGCCAGUGAUAAGCUGGAGGAAGGUGGGGAUGACGUCAAGUCCUCAUGGCCCUUACGUGUUGGGCUACACACGUGCUACAAUGGUAUCUACAACAGGAAGCAAGACGGCGACGUUAAGCAAAUCCUUAAAAGAUACCUCAGUUCGGAUUGCACUCUGCAACUCGAGUGCAUGAAGCUGGAAUUACUAGUAAUCGUGGAUCAGCGUGCCACGGUGAAUGCGUUCCCGGGUCUUGUACACACCGCCCGUCACACCAUGGGAGUUGG